rnacentral:rRNA from 1 species
UACGGGGGGGGCAAGCGUUGUUCGGAAUUACUGGGCGUAAAGGGCUCGUAGGCGGCCAACUAAGUCCGACGUGAAAUCCCCAGGCUUAACCUGGGAACUGCGUCGGAUACUGGAUGGCUUGAAUUCGGGAGAGGGAUGCAGAAUUCCAGGUGUAGCGGUGAAAUUCGUAGAUAUUCGCAAGAACACCAGUGGCGAAGGCGGCUCACUGGCCCGAUACUGACGCUGAGGUGCGAAAGCGUGGGGAGCAAACAGG